GACGAACGCUGGCGGCGUGCUUAACACAUGCAAGUCGAACGGAAAGGCCCUGUCUGGGGUGCAUGCGCGGGGGGCGAGCGGGUGAGUAACAAGUGAGUUGCCUGCCCUUUAUGUUGGAAGAACGUCAAGAAACGGGGGCUAAUACUGGAUGGGAGCUCCGGCUGCAUGGGGUUGGAUGGAAAGGUUCGGCGGGUGGGGAUGGACGCGCCGCUUAUCAGUUUGUGGGGGGGGGAGUGGCUUACCAGGGGUUUGGUGGGUGGCCGGCCUGGGAGGGUGCCCGGCACCAUUGGGCCUGAGCUCCGGCCCGGCCUCCUCCGGGAGGCAGCGGUGGGGAUUUUUGCACAAUGGGCGGAAGCCUGAUGCAGCAACGCCGCGUGCGGGAUGCCGGCCUUCGGGUUGUAACCCGCUUUCGCCUGUGACGAAGCGUGAGUGACGGUACUGGGUAAAGAAGCACCGGCUAACUACGUG
rnacentral:rRNA from 1 species